rnacentral:rRNA from 1 species
UGGGGAAUUUUGGACAAUGGGGGAAACCCUGAUCCAGCCAUCCCGCGUGUGCGAUGAAGGCCUUCGGGUUGUAAAGCACUUUUGGCAGGAAAGAAACGUCAUGGGUUAAUACCCCGUGAAACUGACGGUACCUGCAGAAUAAGCACCGGCUAACUACGUGCCAGCAGCCGCGGUAAUACGUAGGGUGCAAGCGUUAAUCGGAAUUACUGGGCGUAAAGCGUGCGCAGGCGGUUCGGAAAGAAAGAUGUGAAAUCCCAGAGCUCAACUUUGGAACUGCAUAUUUAACUACCGGGCUAGAGUGUGUCAGAGGGAGGUGGAAUUCCGCGUGUAGCAGUGAAAUGCGUAGAUAUGCGGAGAAACACCGAGGGCGAAGGCAGCCUCCUGGGAUAACACUGACGCUCAUGCACGAAAGCGUGGGGAGCAAACAGG